rnacentral:rRNA from 1 species
UUUUAUGGAGAGUUUGAUCCUGGCUCAGAGUGAACGCUGGCGGCGUGCCUAAUACAUGCAAGUCGAACGAUGAAGCUUCUAGCUUGCUAGAAGUGGAUUAGUGGCGCACGGGUGAGUAACGCAUAGGUCAUGUGCCUCUUAGUUUGGGAUAGCCAUUGGAAACGAUGAUUAAUACCAGAUACUCCCUACGGGGGAAAGAUUUAUCGCUAAGAGAUCAGCCUAUGUCCUAUCAGCUUGUUGGUAAGGUAAUGGCUUACCAAGGCUAUGACGGGUAUCCGGCCUGAGAGGGUGAACGGACACACUGGAACUGAGACACGGUCCAGACUCCUACGGGAGGCAGCAGUAGGGAAUAUUGCUCAAUGGGGGAAACCCUGAAGCAGCAACGCCGCGUGGAGGAUGAAGGUUUUAGGAUUGUAAACUCCUUUUGUUAGAGAAGAUAAUGACGGUAUCUAACGAAUAAGCACCGGCUAACUCCGUGCCAGCAGCCGCGGUAAUACGGAGGGUGCAAGCGUUACUCGGAAUCACUGGGCGUAAAGAGCGCGUAGGCGGGAUAGUCAGUCAGGUGUGAAAUCCUAUGGCUUAACCAUAGAACUGCAUUUGAAACUACUAUUCUAGAGUGUGGGAGAGGUAGGUGGAAUUCUUGGUGUAGGGGUAAAAUCCGUAGAGAUCAAGAGGAAUACUCAUUGCGAAGGCGACCUGCUGGAACAUUACUGACGCUGAUUGCGCGAAAGCGUGGGGAGCAAACAGGAUUAGAUACCCUGGUAGUCCACGCCCUAAACGAUGGAUGCUAGUUGUUGGAGGGCUUAGUCUCUCCAGUAAUGCAGCUAACGCAUUAAGCAUCCCGCCUGGGGAGUACGGUCGCAAGAUUAAAACUCAAAGGAAUAGACGGGGACCCGCACAAGCGGUGGAGCAUGUGGUUUAAUUCGAAGAUACACGAAGAACCUUACCUAGGCUUGACAUUGAGAGAAUCCGCUAGAAAUAGUGGAGUGUCUGGCUUGCCAGACCUUGAAAACAGGUGCUGCACGGCUGUCGUCAGCUCGUGUCGUGAGAUGUUGGGUUAAGUCCCGCAACGAGCGCAACCCCCUUUCUUAGUUGCUAACAGGUCAUGCUGAGAACUCUAAGGAUACUGCCUCCGUAAGGAGGAGGAAGGUGGGGACGACGUCAAGUCAUCAUGGCCCUUACGCCUAGGGCUACACACGUGCUACAAUGGGGUGCACAAAGAGAAGCAAUACUGCGAAGUGGAGCCAAUCUUCAAAACGCCUCUCAGUUCGGAUUGUAGGCUGCAACUCGCCUGCAUGAAGCUGGAAUCGCUAGUAAUCGCAAAUCAGCCAUGUUGCGGUGAAUACGUUCCCGGGUCUUGUACUCACCGCCCGUCACACCAUGGGAGUUGUGUUUGCCUUAAGUCAGGAUGCUAAAUUGGCUACUGCCCACGGCACACACAGCGACUGGGGUGAAGUCGUAACAAGGUAACCGUAGGUGAACCUGCGGUUGGAUCACCUCCUUUCUAGA